AAGACUAUACUUUCAGGGAUCAUUUCUAUAGUUUGUGACUUGAGAAAUGCGUUUCUAAAGUGUUUGGUCUCGCCAACCACGAGGAGGAUAUAUAGUGUCUCCUUCUGAGCGCGAAGCGGGUCCGGAGUGUUGCUUCAGGGCAGCUGUUCCCGACCAUUGAUGACCGUUCCUCUCUCUCACGGGCUGAGGAGGAAGGAGACACUUUCUGAGUGGGC
ensembl:snoRNA